CCUACGGGAGGCUGCAGUGAGGAAUAUUGGUCAAUGGGCGGGAGCCUGAACCAGCCAAGCCGCGUGAAGGAUGAAGGCGCUAUGCGUCGUAAACUUCUUUUGUCGGGGAACAAAAGGCGUCACGCAUGGCGUCGUGAGUGUACCCGAAGAAAAAGCAUCGGCUAACUCCGUGCCAGCAGCCGCGGUAAUACGGAGGAUGCGAGCGUUAUCCGGAUUUAUUGGGUUUAACGGGUGCGUAGGCGGAAUAUCAAGUCAGCGGUAAAAAUUCGGGGUUCAACCCCGUAGUGCCGUUGAAACUGAUGUUCUUGAGUGGGCGAGAGGUAUGCGGAAUGCGUGGUGUAGCGGUGAAAUGCAUAGAUAUCACGAAGAACUCCGAUUGCGAAGGCAGCAUACCGGCGCCCAACUGACGCUGAAGCACGAAAGCGUGGGUAUCGAACAGGAUUAGAUACCCCUGUAGUC
rnacentral:rRNA from 1 species